rnacentral:rRNA from 1 species
UGAAUACGAGACGCUAAGGCGUCGAAGUAGUGUAUGUCAUACUUCCAAGAAAAGCUUGCACUGUCAUAAGUAAAAAAUGCCUGUACCAUAACCGACACAGGUGGGUAGGUAGAGUAUACUAAGGGGCGCGAGAUAACUCUCUCUAAGGAACUCGGCAAAAUAACUCCGUAACUUUGGGAGAAGGAGUACCUUAUUCUAUAAGGUUGCAAUAACAAGAUCCAAGCAACUGUUUAUCAAAAACACAGGUCUCCGCUAAGUCGUAAGACGAUGUAUGGGGGCUGACGCCUGCCCAGUGCCAGAAGGUUAAAGAAGUCGGUUAGCAUUAGCGAAGCUGGUAACUGAAGCCCUGGUGAACGGCGGCCGUAACUAUAACGGUCCUAAGGUAGCGAAAUUCCUUGUCGGGUAAGUUCCGACCCGCACGAAAGGCGUAAUGAUUUGGAUACUGUCUCGGAGAGGGGCUCGGUGAAAUAGACUUGUCUGUGAAGAUGCGGACUACCUGCACCAGGACAGAAAGACCCUAUGAAGCUUUACUGUAACUUGAAAUUGAAAUUGGACUUUAUUCGCGCAGUAUAGGUGGGAGGUGUUGAUUAUAAUCUUGCGGGAUUAUUGGAGCCAUCAGUGAGAUACCACUCUUGUAAUGUUAGAUUUCUAACUUUGAAUCAUUAUCUGGUCAAAGGACAGUUUCAGGCGGGCAGUUUGACUGGGGCGGUCGCCUCCCAAACGGUAACGGAGGCGUACAAAGGUUUCCUCUGAACGGGUAGAAAUCGUAUCUAGAGUGUAAAGGCAUAAGGAAGCUUGACUGUGAGACCUACAAGUCGAACAGGGACGAAAGUCGGUCUUAGUGAUCUGACGGUACUGAGUGGAAAGGCCGUCACUCAACGGAUAAAAGUUACUCUAAGGAUAACAGGCUGAUCUCCCCCAAGAGUUCACAUCGACGGGGAGGUUUGGCACCUCGAUGUCGGCUCAUCGCAUCCUGGGGCGGUAGUACGUCCCAAGGGUUUGGCUGUUCGCCCAUGAAAGCGGUACGCGAGCUGGGUUCAGAACGUCGUGAGACAGUUCGGUCCAUAUCCGGUGUAGGCGUUAGAAUAUUGAGAGGAGCCUUCUUUAGUACGAGAGGACCGAGAAGGACAUACCUCUGGUGUACCAGUUAUCGUGCCAACGGUAAACGCUGGGUAGCUAUGUAUGGAGUGGAUAACCGCUGAAAGCAUCUAAGUGGGAAGCCCACCUCAAGAUAAGUAUUCUCC